rnacentral:rRNA from 1 species
UGGGGAAUUUUGGACAAUGGGGGAAACCCUGAUCCAGCCAUCCCGCGUGUGCGAUGAAGGCCUUCGGGUUGUAAAGCACUUUUGGCAGGAAAGAAACGUCAUGGGUUAAUACCCCGUGAAACUGACGGUACCUGCAGAAUAAGCACCGGCUAACUACGUGCCAGCAGCCGCGGUAAUACGUAGGGUGCAAGCGUUAAUCGGAAUUACUGGGCGUAAAGCGUGCGCAGGCGGUUCGGAAGGAAAGAUGUGAAAUCCCAGAGCUCAACUUUGGAACUGCAUUUUUAACUACCGGGCUAGAGUGUGUCAGAGGGAGGUGGAAUUCCGCGUGUAGCAGUGAAAUGCGUAGAUAUGCGGAGGAACACCGAUGGCGAAGGCAGCCUCCUGGGAUAACAAUGACGCUCAUGCACGAAAGCGUGGGGAGCAAACAGG